rnacentral:rRNA from 1 species
UACGGGGGGAGCAAGCGUUGUUCGGAUUUACUGGGCGUAAAGGGCGCGUAGGCGGCCACGACAAGUCACUUGUGAAAUCUCCGGGCUUAACUCGGAACGGUCAAGUGAUACUGUCGGACUAGAGUACAGAAGGGGCAACUGGAAUUCUCGGUGUAGCGGUGAAAUGCGCAGAUAUCAGGAGGAACACCAAUUGCGAAGGCAGCUCGCUGGAACGUAACUGACGCUGAGACGCGAAAGCGUGGGGAGCAAACAGG